GAGGAAGUGCUCGGGAAGGGGUUCACUGAGGGCGUCUGAAAGCCAAGAGAGAGCAAACUGCCUCAGCACGAGGAGCCACACUAAGCAUGGCGGCCGCUGAGUGCCAAGCGGAGGGAGCGGAGCUUCCUGUGGCGGCUGAAGAACGUUGCGGGCUUUGCUCCUCACUUAUUGGUUGGUUUGAGGAAGCACGAGAAGGGCAACUGGUGGGAGUGGACAUCAGUCAGACGUUAGUCCCGCCUCCAGGAGCUUGACUCGCUGUUCCGCCGGGGAGCAGAGACCUUUCGGGACGCUGGUCUCUGAGUGACGUCACGGCGUCACCGUCACACCGUCGCAACGUGCAAACCGCUCCCCAGGGCGGAAGUUCUCAGCGCCGCCUCCAGGAUCCGGGCGGGAGCGAGCUGAGCCUUUUCUCAGCUCCGUGGCUGAAGAGCCAAUGAGCACCUGCCUCGGGGACCUUGGUUAGAUGACUCGGCCCAGACACCGCCUUGACUGUUAAGUGAGAUUUUUGUCACGCGCCUUGGGGUCAUUUCAAGGGCCCUGUCUUUUGUCAUCCUCACAGUUCAGUUUUCUCGGCCUUAGAAGAUCGCUUUUUGGUAAAAUGGGAGGGGAAAAAACCAUAAAAACAUAAACCUGGAUAGAGUCGAUGCAGACAUGUUCUCAGCCGAACACCUCUCAAUGCAGACCCUGUCGAGCAAUAGAAGCACUGCUGAGCUCUCCAGAAGGAGGUCCACUGAGCACAUCAUCUGGCUGAUAGCACUUACGGAACAUCACAGGGAAAGUGGCCCUUGCAGGACUAAAGUGAUUUCAGCAAACAGAAAAUGGGAUGACAGAAUAGCCCAGCCCAACAAAGUUACAAGGUCUGGCUGUCGAAUCUGUUUCCGGCAUUACCGGUGGCACAUUUACUGCAUGUGAUAACUCUUACUCGAAGAAGAGUGAAAGUAACAUAAAGAGGAAGUGGGGAGGAUUAGAAUUCUCAAGAAUGAAAGAUUGAAUCUAGGCCUUCACACAGCCUAAGCAAGAGCCAAACUGCUGAGGUACAACCCUGUUGUGGAAUAUACCUUUACACUGUGUGAA